rnacentral:lncRNA from 1 species
AUGAGUGGGUGUUUGUACUGUACUGACAUCCACAUGCAUGAGCCCUUGUUUUUUUUUCUUACAGUCUUCCUGGCUCUAUGUCUGGCUGGCUGGGCUGUAUCUGGCGCUUCUUUUGAAGCUCAGAAGACCUCCCCUGUCUGUUACCUCUGUAACGAUACUCAAUGCCAAAAUAUUGAGUCUGUUUAUGACCAUUUGACAGAUAAUUUGACUCUGUGGUCACGAGGUGAAAUGGCUUCCCUGCCUCAGUGCCCCACCACCCCCCCACCAUCUGGAAAAUGUCUCUUGUGUGUUGAGAGCCAGAAGGUCUACGCUGUGUGUGACUCAGAGAUCAUCAAGCCAGUCUUUGAGGGCCAAGGGAGCUCCAUGCCUGUCAUCGAAGCCAAUUGCCCCAGCACUGUUUCAACUGACGAGACGGGUGGACCUGGAGGUUUUGCUGGGAGUCCUGAUCCAAAUCCCCCCACAAUGACCCCUGAUGUCACUGGCAGGUUAUCCAAGGAAAAAAUAAUCGCUAUUGUGUUAAUCCCAAUUGCCUUCUUCGUUAUCCUCAUCCUCGUUGUUUUGCGCAGAAGGACCAGUUCAAGUGUUGUCUGGUGUCCACUUCAGAAGUCCACUCAGAGCAACACUAGACCCAGUUAAAGUUAUUAAAGAAAAAGGUUGAUAUUGUGUGAGACAAGGAAAAGAGGAAGUGAUGGACCUGCAAGAAGGGUGAAUGUUGUCCAUUUCCUGGCUAUGGUUUAACUUGAGGAAACAGUAAGGUCUAUUAGAAAGCCAGGUUGUUACAUUUUGAUAGCUUUAACUCGGCACAUUUACAACAGGGUACAUGUGUGUCUUGGGAUUCCUAGGGCCUGGAAGUAAAGUCAGGGAGAGGUCUCGGUGAGACUUACACAGAGGGUCCUGCCAUUUUAAACCAUAUACUUUUUGAUUCGUUUGCGUGUUUUGCACGUCUGUAUGGUUGAUUGAAACAUAUGAAGUUAAUAAUUAAGUUGUUUUAUUUAUAUUAAUGUAUUUUUAUGUUUUUAAUGUUGAUAGUAUUUGCAAGGUACUGUAUUUGCAAGUGAAUCUCAUCAUAUGUGCUCUUCCCUUGUCUAAUGUCAGAAUAAACACCAAAGAACUGGGUUCACUGGCUGGGCAUGUGUUUAUUUACACAGCACAACACAAAAGAAUAGCUGUACAAUCUGUUAAUAAAACUGGUGAGGCCAUACCCAGCCCUACAAAGAGGAAAGGGACAGGAGAGGGAACAGGUUUAGAGUUCCACUCCUAUUGACCAAAAUCCAUAAUCUGGACACAAACUGAU